CAGAAUCACAGAACUGUUAGUCUUGGAAGGGACAUCUGGAGAUCACCCAGUCCAACCCUGCUGCCAAGGCAGGGUCACCUGGAGCAGUGACACAGGAACGUGUCCAGAUUCUGUGACCCUCUUGGCACCCACCUUUGAGGUAUUUAUAUGUAUCGAGGAGAUCCCCCCUUGGUCUUCUCCAGACUAACAAGGCCCAGCCCUCAGAGUCUCUCCUAAGAGAGACACUCAUCACCUUUAUGGCCUCUGCUGGACUGUCUCUAGUAGCUGAUGUAGAUUUUCACACUGUUGGCCUCCAAAACAUAAUAAAAUAUACAUAUACUA